AGUGAACGCUGGCGGUAGGCCUAACACAUGCAAGUCGAACGGCAGCACAGUAAGAGCUUGCUCUUACGGGUGGUGAGUGGCGGACGGGUGAGGAAUACAUCGGAAUCUACUUUUUCGUGGGGGAUAACGUAGGGAAACUUACGCUAUUACCGCAUACGACCUACGGGUGAAAGCAGGGGAUCUUCGGACCUUGCGCGAUUGAAUGAGCCGAUGUCGGAUUAGCUAGUUGGCGGGGUAAAGGCCCACCAAGGCGACGAUCCGUAGCUGGUCUGAGAGGAUGAUCUGCCACACUGGAACUGAGACACGGUCCAGACUCCUACGGGAGGCAGCAGUGGGGAAUAUUGGACAAUGGGCGCAAGCCUGAUCCAGCCAUACCGCGUGGGUGAAGAAGGCCUUCGGGUUGUAAAGCCCUUUUGUUGGGAAAGAAAAGCAGCAGGUUAAUACCCCGCUGUUCUGACGGUACCCAAAGAAUAAGCACCGGCUAACUUCGUG
rnacentral:rRNA from 1 species